rnacentral:rRNA from 1 species
UACGGAGGGUGCGAGCGUUGUCCGGAAUCACUGGGCGUAAAGGGCGCGUAGGCGGCAGGCCAAGCGUGCGGUGAAAGUCCGGGGCUCAACCCCGGAUCUGCCGUGCGGACUGGUUUGCUAGAGCACUGUAGAGGCGAGUGGAAUUCCGGGUGUAGCGGUGGAAUGCGUAGAGAUCCGGAAGAACACCGGUGGCGAAGGCGGCUCUCUGGGACGGUACUGACGCUGAGACGCGAAAGCGUGGGGAGCGAACAGG